AACAAAUUGCAUAUGCAUCACCGAACUCAGGCAUUGCUGAAGAUUGAUUCUGAAACCAGAUUGAACGCUGGCGGGAUGCUUUACAUGCAAGUCGAACGGCAGCACGGACUUCGGUCUGGUGGCGAGUGGCGAACGGGUGAGUAAUGUAUCGGAACGUGCCUAGUAGCGGGGGAUAACUACGCGAAAGCGUAGCUAAUACCGCAUACGCCCUUCGGGGAAAGCGGGGACCUUCAGGCCUCGCACUAUUAGAACGGCCGAUAUCGGAUUAGCUAGUUGGUGGGGUAACGGCUCACCAAGGCGACGAUCCGUAGCUGGUUUGAGAGGACGACCAGCCACACUGGGACUGAGACUUGCGGCCCGAACUCCUACGGGAGGCAGCAGUGGGGAAUUUUGGACAGUAGGGGGAAACCUGGUCAGCCAUCCCGCGUGUGCGAUGAAGGCUUCGGGUUGUAAAGCACUUUUGGCAGGAAAGAAACGGCGCAGGAUAAUACCCCGUGCAACUGACGGUACCUGCAGAAUAAGCACCGGCUAACUACGUGCCAGCAGCCGCGGUAAUACGUAGAAGCGUUAAUCGGAAUUACUGGGCGUAAAGCGUGCGCAGGCGGUUCCGGAAGAAAGAUGUGAAAUCCCAGAGCUUAACUUUGGAACUGCAUUUUUAACUACCGAGCUAGAGUGUGUCAGAGGGAGGUGGAAUUCCGCGUGUAGCAGUGAAAUGCGUAGAUAUGCGGAGGAACACCGAUGGCGAAGCGGCUUCCCCUGGGAUAACACUGACGCUCAUGCACGAAAAGCGUGGGAGCAAACAGGAUUAGAUACCCUGGUAGUCCACGCCCUAAACGAUGUCAACUAGCUGUUGGGCCUUCGGGCCUUGGUAGCGCAACUAACGCGUGGUGACCGCCUGGGGAGUACGGUCGCAAGAUUAAAACUCCAAAGAGAUUGACGGGGACCCGCACAAGCGGUGGAUGAUGUGGAUUAAUUCGAUGCAACGCGAAAAACCUUACCUACCCUUGACAUGUCUGGAAUCCCGAGAAGAGAGAUUUGGGAGUGCUCGCAAGAGAACCGGAACACAGGUGCUGCAUGGCUGUCGUCAGCUCGUGUCGUGAGAUGUUGGGUUAAGUCCCGCAACGAGCGCAACCCUUGUCAUUAGUUGCUACGAAAGGGCACUCUAAUGAGACUGCCGGUGACAAACCGGAGGAAGGUGGGGAUGACGUCAAGUCCUCAUGGCCCAUAUGGGUAGAGGGCUUCACCACAUCAUACAAUGGUCGGGACAGAGGGUCGCCAACCCACGGGGGGGGAGCCGUCGAAACCCGAUCGUAGUCCGGAUCGCAGUCUGCAACUCGACUGCGUGAAGUCGGAAUCGCUAGUAAUCGCGGAUCAGCAUGUCGCAGUGAAUACGUUCCGGGUCUUGUACACACCGCCCGUCACACCAUGGGAGUGGGUUUUACCAGAAGUAGUUAGCCUAACCGUAAGGAGGGCGAUUACCACGGUAAGUUCAUGACUGGGGUGAAGUCGUAACAAAGGUUAG
rnacentral:rRNA from 1 species